rnacentral:tRNA from 1 species
GGCGGGGUAGCUCAGUUGGUUAGAGCUGUGGAUUCAUAAUCCAUGUGUCGGGAGUUCAAAUCUCCCCCUCGCUACCA